rnacentral:rRNA from 1 species
CGCUUAACACAUGCAAGUCGCACGAGAAAGGGAGCAAUCCUGAGUAUAGUGGCGCACGGGUGAGUAACACGUGGAUGAUCUACCUCCUUGUGGGGAAUAACCCUGGGAAACCGGGGCUAAUACCGCAUACGUCCGAGAGGAGAAAGCCGAAAGGCGCAGGGAGAGGAGUCCGCGGUCGAUUAGCUAGUUGGCAGGGUAAUGGCCUACCAAGGCGACGAUCGAUAGCCGGCCUGAGAGGGCACACGGCCACACUAGCACUGAAACACGGGCCAGACUCCUACGGGAGGCAGCAGUGGGGAAUCUUGCACAAUGGGGGAAACCCUGAUGCAGCGACGCCGCGUGAACGAUGAAGCCUUCGGG